rnacentral:rRNA from 1 species
UUCGCCCUUAGAGUUUGAUCCUGGCUCAGGACGAACGCUGGCGGCGCGCCUAACACAUGCAAGUCGAACGAGCGAGAGAGAGCUUGCUUUCUCGAGCGAGUGGCGAACGGGUGAGUAACGCGUGAGGAACCUGCCUCAAAGAGGGGGACAACAGUUGGAAACGACUGCUAAUACCGCAUAAGCCCACAGGUCGGCAUCGACCAGUGGGAAAAGGAGCAAUCCGCUUUGAGAUGGCCUCGCGUCCGAUUAGCUAGAUGGUGAGGUAAUGGCCCACCAAGGCGACGAUCGGUAGCCGGACUGAGAGGUUGAACGGCCACAUUGGGACUGAGACACGGCCCAGACUCCUACGGGAGGCAGCAGUGGGGAAUAUUGCACAAUGGGGGAAACCCUGAUGCAGCGACGCCGCGUGGAGGAAGAAGGUCUUCGGAUUGUAAACUCCUGUUGUUGAGGAAGAUAAUGACGGUACUCAACAAGGAAGUGACGGCUAACUACGUGCCAGCAGCCGCGGUAAAACGUAGGUCACAAGCGUUGUCCGGAAUUACUGGGUGUAAAGGGAGCGCAGGCGGGAAGACAAGUUGGAAGUGAAAUCUAUGGGCUCAACCCAUAAACUGCUUUCAAAACUGUUUUUCUUGAGUAGUGCAGAGGUAGGCGGAAUUCCCGGUGUAGCGGUGGAAUGCGUAGAUAUCGGGAGGAACACCAGUGGCGAAGGCGGCCUACUGGGCACCAACUGACGCUGAGGCUCGAAAGUGUGGGUAGCAAACAGGAUUAGAUACCCUGGUAGUCCACACCGUAAACGAUGAUUACUAGGUGUUGGAGGAUUGACCCCUUCAGUGCCGCAGUUAACACAAUAAAGUAAUCCACCUGGGGAGUACGACCGCAAGGUUGAAACUCAAAGGAAUUGACGGGGGCCCGCACAAGCAGUGGAGUAUGUGGUUUAAUUCGACGCAACGCGAAGAACCUUACCAAGUCUUGACAUCCUGCGACGAUGCUGGAAACAGUAUUUUCCUUCGGGACGCAGAGACAGGUGGUGCAUGGCUGUCGUCAGCUCGUGUCGUGAGAUGUUGGGUUAAGUCCCGCAACGAGCGCAACCCUUACUGUCAGUUGCUACGCAAGAGCACUCUAGCAGGACUGCCGUUGACAAAACGGAGGAAGGUGGGGAUGACGUCAAAUCAUCAUGCCCCUUAUGACCUGGGCCUCACACGUACUACAAUGGCUGUUAACAGAGGGAUGCAAAGCCGCGAGGUGGAGCGAACCCCUAAAAGCAGUCUUAGUUCGGAUUGUAGGCUGCAACCCGCCUACAUGAAGUCGGAAUUGCUAGUAAUCGCGGAUCAGCAUGCCGCGGUGAAUGCGUUCCCGGGCCUUGCACUCACCGCCCGUCA